UGGCGGACGGGUGAGUAACGCGUGGGCAACCUGCCUUACACAGGGGGAUAACACUUAGAAAUAGGUGCUAAAACCGCAUAAGCGCACAGCUUCGCAUGAAGCGGUGUGAAAAACUCCGGUGGUGUAAGAUGGACCCGCGUCUGAUUAGCUUGUUGGNGGGGUAACGGCCCACCAAGGCGACGAUCAGUAGCCGGCCUGAGAGGGCGGACGGCCACAUUGGGACUGAGACACGGCCCAGACUCCUACGGAAGGCAGCAG
rnacentral:rRNA from 1 species